rnacentral:rRNA from 1 species
GAUGAACGCUAGCGAUAGGCCUAACACAUGCAAGUCGAGGGGCAUCACAAAGAGUAGCAAUACUUUUGGUGGCGACCGGCGGAUGGGUGAGUAACACGUAUGCAACCUACCUUCUACAUUGGGAUAACCCGUUGAAAGACGGACUAAUACCGAAUAAUACAGGGGCGCCACAUGGUGAUAUUUGUUAAAGUUUCGAGCAAUCGAUUCGGUAGAAGAUGGGAAUGCGUAUGAGUAGCUAGUUGGUGAGGUAACGGCUCACCAAGGCAACGAUCAUUAGGGGUUCUGAGAGGAAGGUCCCCCACACUGGUACUGAGACACGGACCAGACUCCUACGGGAGGCAGCAGUGAGGAAUAUUGGUCAAUGGGCGCGAGCCUGAACCAGCCAAGUCGCGUGAAGGAAGACUGUCCUAUGGAUUGUAAACUUCUUUUGUACAGGAAUAAAGUGUUCUACGUGUAGGAUUUUGCAUGUACUGUACGAAUAAGGAUCGGCUAACUCCGUGCCAGCAGCCGCCGUAAGAC